rnacentral:rRNA from 1 species
UACGUAGGGUGCAAGCGUUGUCCGGAAUAUUGGGCGUAAGAGCUCGUAGGCGGUCUGUCGCGUCGACUGUGAAACCCGCGGCUCAACUGCGGGCUUGCAGCCGAUACGGGCAGGCGUAGAGUUCGGUAGGGGAGACUGGAAUUCCUGGUGUAGCGGUGAAAUGCGCAGAUAUCAGGAAGAACACCCGUGGCGAAGGCGGCUCUCUGGGACGGUACUGACGCUGGAGACGCGAAAGCUAGGGGAGCGAACAGG